rnacentral:rRNA from 1 species
CUACGGGGGGUGCAAGCGUUAAUCGGAAUUACUGGGCGUAAAGCGCGCGUAGGCGGUUUGCUCAGUCGGAUGUGAAAGCCCAGGGCUCAACCUUGGAACUGCAUACGAUACUGGCAAACUAGAGUGUGAGAGAGGAUAGUGGAAUUUCCGGUGUAGCGGUGAAAUGCGUAGAUAUCGGAAGGAACAUCAGUGGCGAAGGCGACUGUCUGGCUCAACACUGACGCUGAGGUGCGAAAGCGUGGGGAGCAAACAGGAUUAGAAACCCCAGUAGUCC